rnacentral:rRNA from 1 species
AUUGAACGCUGGCGGCAUGCUUUACACAUGCAAGUCGAACGGCAGCGCGGGCUUCGGCCUGGCGGCGAGUGGCGAACGGGUGAGUAAUACAUCGGAACGUGCCCAGUAGUGGGGGAUAGCUCGGCGAAAGCCGGAUUAAUACCGCAUACGACCUGAGGGUGAAAGCGGGGGAUCUUCGGACCUCGCGCUAUUGGAGCGGCCGAUGGCAGAUUAGCUAGUUGGUGGGGUAAAGGCCUACCAAGGCGACGAUCUGUAGCUGGUCUGAGAGGACGACCAGCCACACGGGGACUGAGACACGGCCCAGACUCCUACGGGAGGCAGCAGUGGGGAAUUUUGGACAAUGGGCGAAAGCCUGAUCCAGCAAUGCCGCGUGUGUGAUGAUGGCCUUCGGGUUGUAAAGCACUUUUGGCGGGAACGAAAAGGACUGUGCCAAUACCACGGUUCGAUGACGGUACCCGCAGAAUAAGCACCGGCUAACUACGUG